AAUUUUUUUUUUAGAUAAGAAGUUGGAUAAGAAGUGGUUAAGAAGUUUAAACUUUGUAUUAUUUAUAAAAGUUCAAUGGUGCCACUUACAGUGACAAGGUUGUAAAUAAAUCAAGAGAUAACGGCACUUAUUGCGUUGUGCUAAAUAAAGUUUCAUUUUGGUUAGUUUUUUUAUAAUCAUUAUGGUUAUGAUCUGUCACUCGGGGCGCUUCUCGACAAUUUAAUUUUACACCGUUCUACUCUACUCCGCUCGGCUUAAAGAGACGUUUCUGCUGACGUAAAAAUCUUGCCGAGGUGAAAGUCGGUGGCGUGCGACAGUUAUUCAGAUUCAUCGUGGGACUUCGAAAACGGAAAGAACGUAGAAAGAAAUUCCUGGAGCGUGGAGUUUCCUUGAGGUAAAAUCCGAAGAAAGAUUGCAUCAAUUCCGCAUCAUCCACGUUUAUACAGCUGUUACUACUCUCGUUAAUCACUCGUUGCUUUUGUGUGUAUUGCUACCCUAUAAACAAAAAAGGACCUAUAUCGAGAUGUUUUGAAGAUACGAAGAAAAAUUCCAUUGCUGUGAAAUAAGACGAAAUACGAAGAAACGAAGAGAUGAAAAACUGAAUUUCUGAAACAUUUUUGUAAUCGCGAAAAAGACAAAUCACGUGAAAAUCACGCGAAGAAAGUACAAAGUGUUAUACAACCUGGUCGAUUUGGUAAUAAUAAUGUGAUAAAAAAGGAUUGACGUCAUAAUUUAGUAGUUACGUCACUCUUGACGAUACCCUUUUCAAAAUUUGAAUCGGUUAUCUCGAACGAUAUAAAGAACAUGAAGGAAGAAAAAGUGAGAACUUCACUAAAAGAAAUCAUUUUAGAAUAAACGUGAUAGCACGGAGCAUGAGAUACGUUCUUCACUUCACUUCUCGUAUAUUUAUAUUCCAGGUGUGUUUAUUUAAUUUCCUAGAAGAAUAAAAAAAGCAAAAAGAUAUUUACAAAUCGCUAUAAUUCACCAAGAAAUUUAUUCAUUGUUUUAUUAUUUGUUCUAUGCUAAAAUUAUACCAAUGUCGUAUGUUAAUUAACCGUCAUAAAACGAUAUUUCAGGAUGUAAUAGACAAAUAAAUAUUUGCCUAUUAUCACGCACUUCUCCAUUGUUUGUUAAUAUUUCAAAUUAAUAAAAAUAGCCGGCAGUUUUCUCACAAGAAGAGAGGAAAAAAAAAUAGUUAAUUCCCUAUUCUAUUAUGAGUAUACUAAAUUGCAUAAGAGAGUUUUAACAUUAUCUAUUUUAAUUUUUCAACACAGACGACAUUUCUACCGUUAUUAUUCAUACGAAUAAUGUGCAUGAACUUGUUUUCAAGAACGCAUAAUCGAGACCGUAUGCCCGGAUGUUGUCGUAUGACGUAGAUAUCCCGUUUAAAAAACUCAAUGAAAAGAAAUAAGCUUUCCAACGUAUACAGAUAUGUUGUGUAUUCGAAAUUUCACAAACUACUUUCUCCUAUUUUAUUUCGUAUAGAUGUUUUGAAGAUACGAAGAAAAAUUCCAUUGCUAUGAAAUAACACGAAAUACGAAGAAAUAGAGAGAUAAAAAACUGAAUUUCUGCGUGAAAAUCACGUGAAGAAAGUACGUGUUACACCUAACCUAAAUUUCUCCUAAAUUUAUAACUGUGACUUCUCCUAAAUUUAUUAAUAAUUUGAUUAAUAAUUAAAAUAUUAAUAAUUAUUAUUAAAAUCAUUUAUUAAUAAAUUUAUUAAUAUAAAUUAUUAACUGUGACACGAUG